CUUUUAAAUUUCCAUAAUAGAAAUGUUGGUCAAGUAUGGUGGCUCAUGCCUGCAAUCUCAGCACUUGGAAACCUGAAGCAGGAGGACUGACAUGAGUUCAUGCUCUGCCUAGGUUGUGUACUAUGGGACAAGACUAGACUACAGAGCAAGAUUCAGACCCCAACCACCAAGGCUGGAAAUUUCCACAGGAGAAGACUUGUAGAGUAACACCCUUGUCCAGACCCAUUGCAAUUGUGGGAGACAUGCUAUUGUGAUAGGAAGAAAAGCAGCACCCAAGGAACCCAUAAUCUAAUCUUAAAACCUGUGAAUAUGCUAUCUUAACAGACUAGAAGAGAAAACCCAGACCAUCCUAUUGAACUCUGAGUGUUGACCACAGGCCUUUGAACUGACCCAACAGGAGUAAUACAGGGCAAUGGGAAGUCUGCUAAAACAGAAGUCCUGGAGUUCAAGCCCAGAGCCUGGGAUUUCUGCGUAACAUGUUUUCAAGUGUUCGGAAAGAUCGUCCAGAGGAAGCAUUGCCAGGGACCUCAUAGAGCGGCGACUGAAGAAGCCAAACUCCUCACUGUGCUCUGAUGAAAGCAGGCAGCCCUUCGAAGUCCUUUGAUAUUCUGUCACUGUGGUGAUUUGGCAGUAACUUUGGCAGUGUGAAUAGAGGAGAGGUGGAAAAAGAAAUCUCAUUUGUGCAGUGACACUUGGCUGGGAUUGCUCCAUAGAAUGUUAUGCUGGAACUAAAUGAAAUUGUCCACCAUUAUGUUAAUAGGCAUAGCCGUUUAUGAAAGCAUCUCUGCAAUGCUGGAGAACCUUGGGCUGAUCUCACUUAUGUCCUGUGUCCAGAAGCCUUCCAGGAAUAACAUAGAUAAAACUGGUAAUGAUGAUAUGCAAUGGCUUACAUGACUGCUUUAAAGUCCUCUGAGUGAAAGCAUAUACUAUCGACAAGAAACUGAACAGAACUGAAUAUAUUGCCACAUGCCUGCAACCCCAGCACUUGCGAGGCUGAAACAGGGAGAUUAUGAGUUCAAAACCAGCCUGAGCUACUUGGUGAGAUCCUGUCUCAAAACCAGACAAAACAA